UACGUAGGGUGCAAGCGUUAAUCGGAAUUACUGGGCGUAAAGCGUGCGCAGGCGGUUUUGUAAGUUUGUCGUGAAAUCCCCGGGCUUAACCUGGGAACUGCAUUUGUGACUGCAAGGCUAGAGUGUGUCAGAGGGAGGUGGAAUUCCGCGUGUAGCAGUGAAAUGCGUAGAGAUGCGGAGGAACACCGAUGGCGAAGGCAGCCUCCUGGGAUAACACUGACGCUCAUGCACGAAAGCGUGGGGAGCAAACAGG
rnacentral:rRNA from 1 species